rnacentral:rRNA from 1 species
CAUUGGGCGUCAAAACCUAAAGGCGAAAUGAAAGUGAAGGAAACUUUGUUUUCGAGGGAGGAUGGGUUAGGUACCGUAAGGGCCGGCCUCGCACUCCCGGGGCGUCUCUAUCUCAUCACGAGAGGAGGCGCACCUAGAGCGUACACGCUGAUACCCGAAAGAUGGUGAACUAUGCCUGGCCAGGACGAAGCCAGGGGAAACCCUGGUGGAGGUCCGCAGCGAUUCUGACGUGCAAAUCGAUCGUCGGAGCUGGGUUUAGGGGCGAAAGACCAAUCGAACCAUCUAGUAGCUGGUUCCCUCUGAAGUUUCCCUCAGGAUAGCUUGCGCUCGCGAAUAACGAGUCUCAUCCGGUAGAGCGAAUGAUUAGAGGCCUUGGGGUCGAAACGACCUCAACCUAUUCUCAAACUCCAAAUAGAUGAGAACCCCGGCUUUCUUGAAAUUUAUUCAUGAAGCCGGGGCUCGGAUCAGAGUGCCAAGUGGGCCAAUUUUGG